AAUGAAAACAAUAGCAAGGAACUGCUGGAGGACACAGAGCUGGAAUAAUGAAGAGGGAACAGCCAGAGAUGUCAAAUGAACUCUGAAAAUAGAUGUGGCUUAAUGAGUGUGGAGAGGUUGGCUUUAUCCAAACAGGCAGAUUCAACCAGCCUUGAGAGUCAGCUCUCUCCACAAAUUUGACAAAGGGAGACAAAAUGGCUGCUGUUGAACAAUGGUGGACUCAAAUUCUUUCUUGACCUUAGUGCACAGUUCCUUCUCCAUCACAGAAGCUCCUCUGGAACCCACACCAACCCCUACAAGAGAAGAUCUGGCUGUUUGGCUCAGGGCCCAAGGUGAGCACUGAAUUGUAGAAUUUGAAGACUAGAGGACCUUAAUUAAGCAAAAGCAUAUUAACUUCUCUGAGGAUAAUUCAUCGUCUGUAAAAAGGAACAGAGAACACUGAUGGGCUUUCCUCAGAGAUACUACAAGAUGCUGACUGUAAUCAUCUGAAGUCUGAUGCGAGCCGGAGGAUCUGCUUCCCAGGUUGUUUAUAUCUCACAUGAUUGGCAAGUCGGGCCAGUCACGGGGAUGACUGCGCAGCCUCACAGCACGGUGGCUGGCUUCCCCCAGAACAAGUAAUUUCAUAGACUGAGAAGCCUCAGUGCCUCUUAUGACCUAUCCUUGGAAUUCACACAUCAUCUUC